GCCGCCGCGGUAAUGCGUAGGGUGCAAGCGUUAAUCGGAAUUACUGGGCGUAAAGCGUGCGCAGGCGGUUAUGCAAGACAGAGGUGAAAUCCCCGGGCUCAACCUGGGAACUGCCUUUGUGACUGCAUGGCUAGAGUACGGUAGAGGGGGAUGGAAUUCCGCGUGUAGCAGUGAAAUGCGUAGAUAUGCGGAGGAACACCGAUGGCGAAGGCAAUCCCCUGGACCUGUACUGACGCUCAUGCACGAAAGCGUGGGAAGCAAACAGGAUUAGAUACCCUGGUAGUCCACGCCCUAAACGAUGUCAACUGGUUGUUGGGAGGGUUUCUUCUCAGUAACGUAGCUAACGCGUGAAGUUGACCGCCUGGGGAGUACGGCCGCAAGGUUGAAACUCAAAGGAAUUGACGGGGACCCGCACAAGCGGUGGAUGAUGUGGUUUAAUUCGAUGCAACGCGAAAAACCUUACCUACCCUUGACAUGCCAGGAAUCCUGAAGAGAUUUGGGAGUGCUCGAAAGAGAGCCUGGACACAGGUGCUGCAUGGCCGUCGUCAGCUCGUGUCGUGAGAUGUUGGGUUAAGUCCCGCAACGAGCGCAACCCUUGUCAUUAGUUGCUACGAAAGGGCACUCUAAUGAGACUGCCGGUGACAAACCGGAGGAAGGUGGGGAUGACGUCAGGUCAUCAUGGCCCUUAUGGGUAGGGCUACACACGUCAUACAAUGGCCGGGACAGAGGGCUGCCAACCCGCGAGGGGGAGCUAAUCCCAGAAACCCGGUCGUAGUCCGGAUCGUAGUCUGCAACUCGACUGCGUGAAGUCGGAAUCGCUAGUAAUCGCGGAUCAGCUUGCCGCGGUGAAUACGUUCCCGGGUCUUGUACACACCGCCCGUCAAAC
rnacentral:rRNA from 1 species